CCCCUAGAUGUUCUGGGCCGCACGCGCGCUACACUGAACAGUUCAACAAGUCUUAACCUUGGCCGAUAGGUCUGGGUAAUCUUUGAACGCUGUUCGUGAUUGGGAUAGACCUUUGCAAUUAUGGGUCUUCAGCGAGGAAUUCCUAGUAAACGCAAGUCAUCAGCUUGCAUUGAUUACGUCCCUGCCCUUUGUACACACCGCCCGUCGCACCUACCGAUUGAAUGGUCCGGUGAAAUCUCGGGACGGCGGCUCGGUCGCUUGCGUCCGACUGCUGAAACUUGAUUAAACCAUAUCAUUUAGAGGAAGGUGAAGUCGUAACA
rnacentral:rRNA from 1 species